UACAGAGACUGCAAGCGUUAUUCGGAUUCACUGGGCGUAAAGGGUGCGCAGGCGGCCGUGUGUGUCAGGUGUGAAAGCCCGGAGCUUAACUCCGGAAUUGCGCCUGAAACUACAUGGCUAGAGCAUUGGAGAGGGAUGCGGAAUUCCAGGUGUAGCGGUGAAAUGCGUAGAUAUCUGGAGGAACACCGGUGGCGAAGGCGGCAUCCUGGACCGAGAUUGACGCUGAGGCGCGAAAGCCAGGGGAGCAAACGGG
rnacentral:rRNA from 1 species